UACGUAGGUGGCAAGCGUUGUCCGGAAUUAUUGGGCGUAAAGCGCGCGCAGGUGGUUCUUUAAGUCUGAUGUGAAAGCCCACGGCUCAACCGUGGAGGGUCAUUGGAAACUGGGGGACUUGAGUGCAGGAGAGAAGAGUGGAAUUCCACGUGUAGCGGUGAAAUGCGUAGAGAUGUGGAGGAACACCAGUGGCGAAGGCGACUCUUUGGUCUGUAACUGACGCUGAGGCGCGAAAGCGUGGGGAGCAAACAGG
rnacentral:rRNA from 1 species